rnacentral:rRNA from 1 species
UACGAAGGGGGCUAGCGUUGCUCGGAAUGACUGGGCGUAAAGGGCGCGUAGGCGGAUGGCACAGUCAGAUGUGAAAUUCCUGGGCUUAACCUGGGGGCUGCAUUUGAUACGUGUGAUCUGGAGUGAGGAAGGAGGGUUGUGGAAUUCCCAGUGUAGAAGGUGAAAUUCGUAGAUAGUUGGGAAGAACACCGGUGGCGAAGGCGGCGACCUGGUCCUUAACUGACGCUGAGGCGCGAAAGCGUGGGGAGCAAACAGG